rnacentral:misc_RNA from 1 species
GACUUUCAGCAUAACCUGGAUUCAAUGGUUCAGGACCUACAACGUCUCAUCCGGGACAUAGACACGGUGACCACAGAAAUUCAGGAGAGAUUUGACCGGAAGUCCACAAAACGCUGUAAUCACCAAAACGGUACCGAAUGUCCACGUCGCGAAGAUGCUUUACAAAAACUGUUAGAUACUGUGCGUACAGUUGACGAAUCUCCUGACCUUGACCUUUCCUAUCUUGACAUUUCAACCUCCUAUCAGCGGCCAAGAUGGGGGAGAUCUUUAUCUUUUCCAGUGUCCUCAUUUAAACUGUCUUCAUUGGUUAAUCCUAAAGAAGAGUUCAGGGAAGAAUACAACGCUACUAGUUUUGUUUGUGAUGAAUUUAAUUCCGAAGAUCAAAGAAAACGAGAUUCUAUAGUAAGAACUACACGUUGCACUGCACAACUAAAAGAAUCUGCAAAAAUUGUUACAAUCGUUCCCGAAUUCAAAAGUUCAAUAUCUACCAUAGAUAGACAUAGCUCUUCUUCCAAAUCAAGUGGAACGUAUAAAGAAAUAAAUUCCAUUAAAAGAACCACCGCCAGUUUUGAAAAUACUCAGCAAGUAAUAGCAGAAGCAACAACACAGACGAGUUUUACACUUGACUCGUCAUCUGAAUUCGAUGGCGAUGUGUUUAGGAACGAUGUGCCGGAACCCCUCUACACAGGAUCGUAUGAGCGGGAAAUGGAAUUGGAACUCGAAAAUUUAAUCGAUUCAUACAGACAGACACGUGACCCCGAUGAUUGGCUGAUGGAAACCGGAAGUUCUACCAGGAUUGGUUCCAGUGAUGAAGAGGCCGAGUUGGCACAGGAACUGAACACCUGGAUGUCGUUCACUCUGCCUAACACAGCGCCCCCUUCUGAGAGUUCUGAGAGCAGCUUCUCGGCCUCCGAGUCUGACAUCGUUAAUCACAAUACUCACGCAACUACAGUGUACGGCAACCUGAUAUUCUCCGAUAAUCUAGUCAUCAUGCCGAGCAGAUCACGUAAAGUUAUCGAACGUUUUGAUGUUUGACGACAGUUUAGUCGAUGAUAUACUAUUACACUUAUGCAUAAUGAUAAUCUAUCGUUAGACAAACUUAUACCGAACGGAUCUUUAGCUCCGAAUAUAAUGUAUUAUUGUUGGAAUGUAUUACAUUGCAUAAAAUGCAUUUAUUAC